rnacentral:lncRNA from 1 species
GUUGUUCCUCGCUUGUCCAGCCAGCCUCCCAGAUCGACCCUGAGAGAAAGGGCCCCGCUCCCAGGGGCCGAAGGUGCUGAUGGGGGAGAGAGGUCCGGAACACAGAGGCCGCGCUAAUUUGCCCUUUACGGGAAGGAAACACCAGACAGAUGUCAGCAAGAAAUGUUCCCUGUGACCAGCUCCACCCUUUCUCCUAUGUUUGUUCACUCUUUACAAAAGCCGAUGGAGGUGUCCCCCCAUCUACAGAGGAGGAAGACAAGAGCCGUGAAGCGAGGAUAAUGAAGCGGAACAAACAGGCAGUAGGAGGAAGUGAGUGGGAUCUGGACAGGUGGAGGAGUAGAGAGAAGCGGGUCCCUUCCCCUGCUCUGAGGCGCCCCAUCCUACACCAAGUGUGUCCCGGGGCAGGGGUGAAUCCUGGAUGUCAGAGGUCUGGGUGCCAAGUUGGCGAUGUUAUGCCCCUUGAUGAAGGGCGCAGGUCCUGCCUGAGGUCCCUGCUGGGGGAGGGGGUG